GGUCUUCUUUGGGAAGGCCCUGUAGGGUCCUGCUUGGUUACAAAAUUGGUUUUGUCUGCUCAGGCAACUUUCAAGGCUGGUCUUCGUUUGUUUUUUAUUUUAACAAACCCAUUUUCCUGAUGGGGAAAUUGAGGAGCAGAGAGAUUACAUGGCUCGCCCAAGGCUUGCGGCUGCAAAUGGACCUCCAGUCAAGAUAGCUGAGCUGGUGUGUUUGCACAGAUACAAGCUCCAGACACGGAGGAGUACAUCAUCGUCCCGUUCCAAGACAAGAAAGGUAAAUACGGUAUCCAGGCCCUUGAGAGAAGAAGGUCCUCGUUGCCGAGUGCCCAUAAAGGAGCCAGGAGCAGAUUGUGCCGUGGGGGGGUGGGAGUCAAAGCCACAGCCCCAUGCACAGCAGCAGGGUUCUGGAACUGGCCCUCUGCAUUCCGCGGGAGCCUGAAAGGGUCUGUGCUUGUGUGAAACUGAAGCAAACUGCUACCCCAAUGGCUCUGAGUAGAGUCCUCUCCCAGAAAGUGGAACGCUGGGCCUGACAGCACGUGGGCCACCUACAUGGUGCAGAAACCUCAAGUGGAGAAAUAAAAGAUGGUCCACAGCCAGUGACUUCCUUAGAAGCCACCAUAGAAGCUACCUGCCUCAUACACCAGGGCACGCGUGCGGUACACACAGGGUGCCUUUAGAAGUCAACUCCUGCCGACCAUGAAAUCAUGAUGCUGCUGAAGGCCACGAGGAAACCCCCCUACUGUGCAGCAGUCAGCAGGUGUGGCAAAUGGGCCGAAUCGCAUCUAAGAAACUACAGUGAUUUGAAAAGGAUUUAAAACCAGGUCUAUAAAAGUGUUUGAAAACAUGGCAACUAAAUGCAACACAUAAUCCUUGACUGGAUUCUGUCCUGGCAAAAAAAUGUGCUGGAAAAGGCAUUGUUGGCUCAUUUGUCCCAUUCUUGCAACUUGUCUCUGAGCUUGAAAUUAUUUUCCAAGAAAAAGUUUUAAAAACCAUUUGAAGAGAAAGCACAUGGAAUAGAGUGCAUCACCACAGAAAAGACAUUAUGAAAAACAUGCAGAUUUUAAAAGAACCAAAUGAAAAUUCUAACCGUGAAAGGUGGUUUCUGCUUUCCCAGCUGGAUCCUGAUUGCCCCAGAAUCAAGUCCUGCUUUCGUGUCUGGAGACUCUCUCAUGGCUGUGUCGGUGUCCGCUCUUCCUUGGUCCCUGGGGAUCUCCCUUACUAUCUUGGGAGCUCAGCCAUGAAUUUAAAUUGCCGUCUGGCUUGCCUGCGUAGUCUAGCAUUUCUCGGUGUUUGGAGUGAGACCUGCUUUGAGUUCUCCAGUCUGGAAACCCGAGCCGCCCGUGAAAGCGGAGCCGGGCCCGACGGCGGCGGCGGGAGGCGCCGGGCGCGGGAGGCGUGCAGCCCAGCUGGUCUCGCCAUGGACGCAGGAGCGGACGCGAAAGGGGGCGGCAGCCCCGAGGACGCCGGGAGCGCUGCGCGCCCCGAGCUCCCGCAGCUCCCUCGCCGCCCGCAGCUCCUGGAGGAGGACGGAGGGCCCAGCGAGGAAGCGGCCGCGGAUGGAGGCAGCGUCCCCGCGCUGGAGGGCACCCCCGGCGAUCCCCCGGCCGAGGCCUCGGCGACGCCCCCUGCCCAGGACCAGGCCCAGGCUGCGGGCGAGGCCAGGCAGGCGCCCAAGGCGGCGGCCGGCGGGGUCCCCAACAUCGGCUUCGUGGGCGAGCCCCCGCCCUACGCGCCGCCCGACCCCAAGGCCGCGCACCUGCUCUACCCGCCGCCCUUCCCGCAGCCCGUGCUCUUCCCGCCCGCGCCCUCCGCCUCCGCCCUGUACCCUCCGCCCGCGCCGCUCUUCCCCGCGCCCACCGUGCAGCCGCUCUUCACGCCCUUCCCGGUGUACAACAGCCCCGUGGCCGGUGUGCCAGCCCCGGCCACUGUGGAACACAGGCCCCUGCCCAAGGACUACAUGAUGGAGUCCGUGCUGGUGACCCUCUUCUGCUGCCUGCUCACCGGGCUCAUUGCCGUCGUCUACUCCCACGAGACUCGUGCGGCCCUGGGCAGGGGGGACCUGGCCCAGGCUGAGGAGGCCUCACGCAAGGCCCGCUCGCUCGUGCUCUUCAGCCUGCUCUUCGGGGUCUUCGUGUCCACCAGCUGGGUCAUCUACGUGGUGGUAGCACUCUACCUGCCCUGAGGGCUGGUGGCUCCUUCGGGGACGUCGGGACACCCAGGGACUCCUGACCUGGCCAGACUCUUUCUGCGGACUUGGAUCCCUGCUGGUGGCCAUCUGUCACCCAGAGGGGACCGGGGCAGGCUCAGAAGAAGGUGGGCUUUGCAGCCCUCUGCACGCUCUUGGCUGGGCCUCUGCCCCUGCAGGUGGCCUCAGGCAGUGUCCUAGCCCGAGGUGGCCCCAGGGCCCGGGCCCAGCUGUGGUACAGGGGCCUGAGGUCUUCCUGGAACUGUGCUGGCAGUGCCCCCAUGCCCCUGGCCUUCACUUGACCCCUGAGAGACCAGCAGAGGGACCAGUGCCCUCACUGUCCUCAGCGCCAUCUGGAAGGACAUCGCCACCUCUGGCCUCCCCAUCGCCCAGCCCAGCCCUGGGAUCGCAGGGCAGAGCUGCUGGGCUUUCUUUCUCCCUGUUGGGGAGUUGAGAGGAGCGGCCUCCUCUUUCCUGGGUCGCUCCUGGCCGGUCGUACUGCGUCCCAGCCCCGUCUGGUGGGGCAGGCUCUCUCCUGAUGACCCCGUGUCCAGAAACCAAGGCCACGACGUCCGGUGCUUCUACUCGGGAGUCUCAUUCACUGUUACCUUUGAAGGGGCAUUCGCUUAAGACUGAAGCUACCUGUUUGUUUAGCAUAAAUUACCUGUUAAGCCCGUCUGGACCUGAUGUUUUUACAGGUUUGAAAUGUCUGCAGGAAGAUGCCACCAUCAGCCAGGUUAGUCGGGGAUAUAUUACAAUGUAACACUGGGGAGGCGCGGGGCCGUGGGAGGGAGGCGCUGCUCAGAAUCGGGGUUUAAUUCAGCCCUGGCACGUGCCUGCCCUUGCCCUGAUCCACCCACACCUGCAGGUGAGAACUGCCUCUGCAGGGAACGAAUCCUCCCGAGGGUGUCUUUGUCGUAAAGACUGAUUCGUACACCUGAUCUGGCCCCUGAGACAGACAAACCACAGCCAGGCUGGCAACUCCCAGAGCCAGAAUGUCUCAAUGAGGUCAAGGUGGGGAAGGCUGUCAGCCAAUAAGUUAAAACACACAUUGCACCUGCUAUCCUCAUGCAGGGUCACCUGGCCACGCCGGCCCCUUGUCCACCUGCACUGCCUGCCCAGUGCCUCGGCUCAGAGCCAGGGCUCCCAGCAAUGAGGGGAGGUGUGGGUGCAGGGUCUGUUCUGAAUUGAGGGACGGUGAAGCCCCCGAGCCCCGUUCAGCUCGCGGCUGGGACGCUGAGCCCGAAGCGCGGCGUCGGCAGUUGCCCGCCUAUGGAGGGAGGCCCCAGGGAACCGCAGUCCACACAGCCCGUGGGCCCUGAGCACACAGCGGCUGCACACAGCGGCAGCAGCAGAGCAGGGCCAGGCCAGGAGGAAGGUGGGAAGGAGGGAAAGACUGAAAUGAGAGGACUUAAAAAAGCGGGAACAAACUAAAACCCAACCCCACACACAAUAUUGUUCAUAACCAGCGACUCUAUACACACACUCUUUUUAAAUAAUAAAGUGACGCGUUCCGCCCGCUGCCGCAGGAUCGCUGCCUGAGGGGUCGUAACUGACAUUUCACAGAUUUCCUCCCCUCUGCGCACAGGACAAACAGCUUCUUGAUAAAAGCUGUUCAAAGACCCAUGAAGGACUCAAAGUGACGUGGCUGUUUCUUUAAACAGUUAACAGAUGUUGCUUUCUACUUUUCUUUUGUUCUGUUUGUUUAAACUGGGCUAAGCCCGAGUUGAGCCUGGUGUUCACCUGCCCCAGUCCCAAACCCAGGAGAAGUGAGCUCUCAAUUAUGUAAAACGAACAAAACAGGAGGCGGGCGGCCUGGGGGCAGCCGUCCGGAUUCUGAUGGCAGCCUGCCCGCAGGCCCACGUCUGGCUGGCACGGAGGCCAGUGGGUGUGGAGAGCCCCUGCAGACCUCACCUCAGAUUGUCAACCUCAGCAGCGGGAGUGGUUCUGAAGGAGGAGGAUGGAAAGAGCACCUGCUCCUGAAGACGCUGCGCCUCGCUGCCGUGUGGCAGGUGAGCCGUGGCCGCCAACCCCAGGGGGCGCCUCUGCGCCAGGCCCCUGGCCUCGCAGGGACACCCUGUCCUUCCCACUUGAGAGCCGGUCAGGCUGGCAGAAGGUCUGAUGAGCAGAGAGGAGCCCCUUUGGGCCCACCAGGCUCAGCGCAAGGGAGGAGGGGGGCCCGCAGGGCGGGACGGAUAGGAGAUGGAGUUUAAGGCACACGGCAAGCGACAGAGGAGGGGGCUGCCGGCCCUCCCCCCGACAGAAAUGCCCCUCCCCUCUCCCCUCUCUCUGGAUUAACUCACCAAGAGCUACUGGCCCCAGCUCAGAUAAAGUGUGUUUCUUGGAUGGUCAAGUCCUUCCUUUCCAGCUGCUGCUUCCCAGCUCCCACGGUGCCAGAGGAUGGGGAGGGCCGGUGGGACGGGGCGGAGGAAGUGAAGGGGCGAAAACAUGACAGCCACGGCUGCUGCUCGUGACCCAGCAAGGGCGGGCCAGUACCGCGACGGGAGCACCAGCCCCAGGGCUCCUGAAAGGCCACCUGCUGUACCCUUCUAGGCCAGGUGAGAAGCUCACACCAUCCUCCACUUAAAAAGUAGGACAUGGAAAGUGAAAGGAGUCUUCCCCGGGUCUCCUCUACUUUCUGCCCACCCAACUGAAGGUCACGGGGAGAGCAGCCCCCGCCCCGAGGGUCCUUGGGCCUCUACUCAUCUGUCAUUUCAGGAGAUUCAGAAGAUUCCCACCAUUCCUGGGCUGCUGCUGAAGUCCCUGCGCUGCUCCCAGGCUUGGGGGGAGGGGAGAGAGGGAGAGCGGAAGACAGAGCGAAAGCAGAAACCAAAACCAAACCCAACCCCCAGUUCACAAAUCAGCAGUGAGACCGCCCGCUGGCUCCCCCGGGCCGGGGGUCUGCUCCUGCGGAGGAGGGGCAGGAAGCUGCUGCGGCUCCGGACGCCUGCCCGGCGGCUCUGAGGCCAGGACACGUGCCACCGCCACGUAACAGGUCCAAAGUCCCUGCCGGCCUCGGAGCGGCCCUCUGAGCCUCUCGAGUUCUCCUCGCUUGCGGCACCUGCUCCUAGGUCUUCUCUUCCCGGUCUGUUUUCCUCCGUGUUAUGUUCCUGGGUUUGAUUUUCAGAGAGAGUUCCCAUAGCGCCUCCUCAGCCAGGUGGUCACUGAAGUCGUUGAAGAAGUUUAUGAUGUCGUCGUUUCUCCGGAUGUCAUAAUGCCUGGUAGAGGAAGGUGGCCAGUGAGAGCCAGUGUGGGCCAAACAGCCCCAAGACCCCUUGGAGGUGCCACGUGUGCCGCCCCAGCAGACCCACGGGGCAGGGGCGCCCACGUGUGACGCUGGCGCUCAGAGCGUGAGCUGCACCCCGCAGCCAGGCUCCCCUCUGCACGAGGUCCCAGGGAGACCCCACUGCGCUGGAGUCAGGAGGGCCAGGGCUCGCGGAGGACAAGCUGGCGGCCAGCGCUGGGUGCAGGCCCUGUGCCACGCUGGAAGCUGUUGGAUCCCCGUGGGUCUCUGCUCAGUGCACCCCGCCCGCCCGGUCCCUCAGGGCGGCAGCACUCACGCCUGCUGGAAGCACCGCAUGCUGUCCAGGAUGUUGAACUGCUGCCACCGUUUGGAAAAAUUCACCUUCCCGUCAAUAUAGUCUGGGUUUCCCAGGUGAACGAAGGUGAGGUCCUGCAGGAUGAGCCCCCUGGAAGGACGGAGAAGCAGGUUAGACUCUGGAGGGUGACCUGGCGGGUAGUCGGUUGAUGGGCGAGCCGGAGCCCGAGCAGCUGCCAAACCCACAAGCGCGUCUGCGGGGAGGGGAGGCGUGAAUUCCUGACUCAGGUUCUGGUCUCUGGAAAGCGGGCUCAGGCCCCCUUGCUACGGAGCCUCUUCAACAGCCGUCCCAGCCCAGCAGAGCUCCGGUACAAGUAACAGAUGAACAGGAAAGAAUGACACCACCCUGAACUUGAGUGGCGGGGUGGGGGUCACACGCUGUCAUCAAACAGGGCGCGAAGCCCCAUGGCGAGUGGGGGCAGUUCUUGCACAGGGGGAGCCCAGCCUGAGGGGCACAGCCACGCCCACCCAAGCAGCCCGGCUGGGGAAGGGUGGUGUGCUCGGCCGGGGCAGGAAGGCUAGGAAGCACGGCAGGGCCGUCGGCUGCAAGACCUACGCUUCGGAGCGUGGAGGCCAGGGCCGUGCCGCCGCACACUCAGCCCGGGACAGCGCUGUCUCCUGUCUCUCUCGGAGAUUCCCACCGUCCACUAGCAUAUUAAGGGGUCCGGUGAGUCCCGCACAAAACUGUUUAGCUUCAGUUUUUUCUGUUAUUUCCCAAGCUUACGUGACGUGGGAUUCUUUUUGGCGAGAUACCCAUUUAGUCCGUGGCCCACACUUGGGGACAUGCUCCCUGAGCUGCCUCACGCCAAGUACUCUCAGGGUUCCUGGGGUGGCCGGAGGGCCCUCCGGUGGUUGUGACGUGCAGCUAAGCUUGAGGACAGCGGGACUAUAGCACGCUGCCGCUGGCGGGGGAGGAGAGGUGCUGCACGGCUGUCCACACGUGCGCCUCAACAAGCCCACUGGCCGAUGGGGGAAGAAAGGAGGAGGAGCAGGCCUGGGAGGGGGGGACCGAACCAUUUUCGCUGGACCCCGCUUUCACUGAAAUUGUUUAGCAAGGCGCAUGUUUUAUUUUCAAAGUUCAAAUAGAAGCACAAACGUCUGGGUUGGAACCCUUUAAGGGAGGGCUUCUCCACGGGGGCCCACUGUACCCCCCCCGGAGCACGCGAGGGGCACACCCAGCCGGGAGGCUGCACUCACAGGUACGGGAUGCACGGGGGCUCCACCUCCGAGAGGGCGGCCCGGUAGGCGCGGAAGGAGGACGAGCUGUCGAUCAGCGUGCAGUACUCCGCCAGGCCCUGGCGGGAGGGAGGCGCAGUCCCUGAGCACGGCGCCGACGCUGGGGCACCGAGCCCCCCGCCCCCCCACCAACCCAGAGCCAGGCCAGGCCUUCCGUGGGUAAGUGGCCCAUGGGGCCGCGGUGCCGACAAAGAACCGCGUCUCUGAGCAGCCAGCGCCCCGUGUGCCGGACCUCAAGCUGGGCUCCUGCUUGGCUGUGCCCAGCGCUGCAGCCCGCCUGAACCUCAAAAGCACACACUGGACCAUGUCACUCCCGGCCCCCAGCCUGCCUUCGCACCUCACCGCCCUCAAGGCGGAGUCCACCAGGGAUGGCGGGUGAGCUCGCUGCUCCUGCAUGCAGCGUGGGUGGGGUUUUUGCCUGUUAUGUGCCUCUCGCCUUGAUGUGUCACCUCCUCCAGGAAGCCUUCCCUGCCUCCUCAGGGCCUGUUAUGUGUUCCUGGAGCAGCUGGUGUGAAUGUCCCAUUUCUCCAUACACCACUGUCUCAUAACUGUCCCUUUAUGUUGCCCCAUGAGACGACCCCCAGGUAGCCCAGGCGACGCUCAGCCCUGUGGGCUUUGUCUCUCUUCCAGGAACAGCACCCACACAAAGAUAAAGGUCCAAUUCCUUGCCAGGUCCCCCAAGACCCCUGUGACGCAGAGCCAUUCUCCCUAGUGAUGUGGCCACGCUGGCCUCUGUCCCCUCUGAUGGGAACUCCCCUCCCUUCCCAGGAAGCUCCUAUUCGGGUCAUGGUGUGAUCGACACCUCCUUAGGGGGCCUCCCUGACCCCCAGGCUGGCCCAGACUCCUCGUUCACAUGCUUGCUCAGCACCCCAUCCCCAUCCUUCUCCCUGUAGUACCUGCCCUGAAGAGCUCCACCUAAUAACGGGUCUAGCCUGUUCAGAGUACAUCCCAAUGCCUAGUGCGGCCCGCACCCAAAGGAGCCCCUCUAGAAGCCUGAGUCGAGGGCAGGAAGCAGAAGGUGAAGCUGGGACCCAGGCACGGUUCUGCGGUACAGGCAGCAGGACGUGACGUGGCGUGACAACCCCGGCACUCACUAACACCAAGCCCCACAGGGCCCAGUGACUGGAGAUUAGAGACAGGAAACUAGGGCAGGGUGGGGCAGAGCACGUCCCACCACAGCCGGGCCUCGCGUCCCACAACUGCCCUCCCGGCUGCCCUCCCAGCCGCCCACCUCUGAGGUCUGCUUCUGCCACUCCAGCCUGCGGAUGGGGGCCGAGUCCAGCGCCGAGAGGAUGGCCAGGUAGGAGUUGAAGUUGUUCAGCUUCCGUAAGUGCUGCAGAGAGAGGGUGGGGGCAGGGAUGGGCGGGCGGGUGGGCAGGCAGGGGCUCCUGUGGCAGGCUCUGGGGAGGGUGCCCACAGUUACCUUCAUGAUCUUGAUGAACUUCAAGAGCAGCCGUUCCCUGUCUUGGGCCUUUUCCUGUAACAUGAUGAUUGACCGGACCCUGCACGGACCAAGGGGAGAAAGAGACAGCUGAGCUGACCCGUCUCUCUUCAGGCCUCUGGCUGGUCCUGGUGGCAAUGGGACGGGGGCACCUGCACCAGCUGGCCAGGAGCCCGUGCCUACGGAGUACCCCGGGCUCACGAGGCACCAGGUGUACCCCUGUCUCUGCUCUGAAGGAGCUCAUGGCAUCCCAGGGGUAGGUAAGAGGCCACAGAGAGAUCCAGCGGCUGGGACCUCUGACUGUGCGGAUGGACGCGCUCCCGGCGAGCGCUGAGCCUGAGCACCACGGCGGCUGGAAACGCUCAGGACCACCGCCCGUCACCCAGAGGACGUGCCCCUCUUCUGACCCAUUAAAGGGCACCGGCACCGAGUCCACCUUGAGCACCGGGGCUCUGAAGGGGCUCCACCCACAUCUCCUCCCAGGCAGGCCCCAGGGGGGGUGUCUGGAGCCCCCGGGCCCAGCAAGGGGCGGGGCUGGAGGCCGUGCUCAGGGCUGCAUGGCUUGUCUGCCCUGGAAACCACCUCGUCCUCUGCCGGGCUGCUACGCUGAGCACGUGUUGCUGAUGAGUGAAGCGCUUCCUGUGGUGCAGAGAGAAGCAGCGCAAGGGGGAGAGGACCCAAUUCUCCUCCAAAGAGCAGUCCCUAGAGCACUUACAAAACAGACGUUUCCCUGGUGGUGGGGAUGGAUUGUGUGUGUGUCCGGGGUCAGUAUGAGACUGCUUGGCCGCCACACCCAACCAUCCUCUACUGAGGCCGAGAGGCCGUGGACACCCUUGAGUCGCAUCAUCUGUCAGAGUCAACAGUUCUGCUGCAGAGUCAGCGUGAGGCUCAGUCCUGAGGCCACCUGGCAGUGGGGAGGCUGGCAACGGCCAGUGCAGGAUGGCAAGUUUAACACCUGCUCCCCUGCCGCCAGCGAUGGCAGACAGACAUUACUAAUAAAUCCCGGCUGAGUCCUCCUCAACCCGCCCCCCAGGUGGCCCCUUCCAACGUGCAAGGACGCCCUGUCCUGUCCCUGCCCUUGUCCUGUCUCUGGUUCACAACGAAUGCCCACAGGGCCCCAGACGGAGCUGGGAGGAAUGAAAGGGCACCUCUUUCUCCUUGCCGUGGGCGCUCUCUGCGAAGGACACACAGGCCCCCAUCCAGAAGUGCUUUGCACUGAGGCCCCUUCUUACCAGUAGGACAUGUUGUUGAAGUGCUCCGUGAACUGGGUCAAGUUGGGGCUCUUCUCCUCGUUCUGCUCUUUUGCCCAAAGCAAAACCUCAGGAAUCUGAAAAAGCAGGUAGACCGGAUAGAGCCUGGGCCCUCUGGCUCUGCUGUGACGCGGUGGCUUCUCUCACUCGGCGACAAGCAGCAGCGCUCACCGGGGCCGGGCACAGCCCUCCCCCAGCCCCACGCGUGCCCAUACCUCUAUCUUAUAAAAGAGCUCGGCAUCUAGCAGUGUCAGCUGCUCGGCUAUCUCAUGGCUGUGAAAGUCAUGCAAGGUCCCGGGCCUGGAAGACAGAGGCACGAGAUGAGUGGUCAGUGGACGGGACGGCGGGGGCUGGGUGGGGGCCGCACUUCAGGCCUCAGAGCUGAGGGAACACGACUUGCUUCACAGCAGCACGGAGGCCACGCAGCGGGGCGGGGGCGGGGGCGGGUCAGGACCAGCCUGCACUCGUCUCCCUGGGACCACGGGGCCUGCCUUCCUCCCUGCCUCUGCCCGGCAGGCUCGGUGGCUCCACUCGCGAGCCCGUGAGCCCAGCUGCCUGAGAACGCACAGCCCGACCCCACUUCAGGGCCCAGUGGGAACAAAGACGGUGCCAUGUGAUUGGAGCUGAGACACCAACAAAGAGGUGAUAAAUCAACAAACCUCCACGGCCUCGGGAGAGGGCCAGUGGAACCUCUACACAGGCGGAACCUAUACACAGGUUCUCAGGAACAGUCAGGAUGGCACAGGGGGCGGCUAGAAUUAAGUUGCCACGUUAGCGCCGGGAAGAGAAUGAAGUGCUGACCACAGCCUGAAAGGCAUUCCUGUCCCCUGUCCUGGUAAGCCCCUACACGCCCUGCUGCCCCACUUCCUACUAAAGCGGUGAUCAGUCAUACAACGUAACCCUGGAGAAGCGGCCCAGCCCCGGGGGAACCCCUGGGCUGUCCCUGAGGCACCUCGUCACAGGGCCCGGGCAGGACCGGGAGGUGAGGCGGUGAGGCUGGGGGCGGGGAGGGGGGCACUGAAGGAAAUGGAAUGGAGCGACAGCUGCCGGUACAGCCCUCGGCAGAGGCAGGGCCCGGAGAAGCCCGGGACGACGGCGGGCGGCGCACCUGGCUGCCACGCCCCUGGCCGCCAGGGGCUGGUCGGAGUCGGCACACCUGAGCAGCCUCCUCUGCUCCGCCUUGUCCAGGAUGUUCUUCCGGAGCACACGGGCCAGACUGAGCUCCCCGCUGCACACCAGGCGGAAGACCAGCUCCAUCAGCAGCUUCAAGAUCUCCUCCGUCAACUCCACUAGGCUGAAGGGCCAAGCGCCAUGCAGUGAGGGGCAGGGACGCAAGCAUAAGAAGAGGGCUGCUGCCACCGGGUCCAGAACCCCCUCAAGACACCUGAGACACCCACCAGCAGAGCUGGGAAACCUCUCGUGGGAAGAGAGCCAGAGAAGGUCUUGGGAUGGCUGUCUGCAUCCUACAGAGUGCCAGGAGUGGUCCCACUGGUAACAAAUAACUGCCAUUCUCUCAGCAGAUGGUCGCUGGCACUGGAUAAGCACCAGGGACCAUGCUGCGGCCUGGGCUAUGGAGACAAAUCCUGCCCCAGGGGAGCUCCUGAUCCCACGGGGGUGAUGAAUCAUGGCGAGGUCUGGGCUCCACAGACCAGACAGCCCUAGGACGCCCCUGCACAGUGUUCUAUAAACACGCAGUAUUUCACAGCCCCACCCCGUAAUCACUAAGGCCACCCCCCAGCAGAAGGUAAACACAUUGAGGGCGGGGCCUGGGUGGCUUCCUUACCAAGGGCUCUCUAGACCUAGGAAAGGGACCUUGUGCAUUGUGUUUGUUAAAUGACUGGAAAUGGCAAAUGCCACUCAGUCAGGGGACCGUGGAAAGAUGAGGAGGGCAGCCAAGGUCUAAGCCACAUACCAGAGGGAUGGCCCCCACAAGGAAAUCAGGGCUGGGCCGGGCCAGGGCGGGUCUGAGGGGACAAGUCAUUCUCCCCAGGGGUCAUGUUAAAGCAGGGAGGAAUGAGCCCUGUCCAGGGCCUUGGGCAGGGCUCUGUGGACACAGAGCCCAGGAGAUGCAGGUGAAAUGUGACAGGAGGCCCAGAUCUCUGCGGGGAAGCCUGUGCCCCGGCAGGGACCCCGAGAUGCCCACGGCCUGCUGGGUACCCCCGGCCACCAUCCCCCGGGCGGAAGGACUCACCAGAGCUCGUCCACCACCCGUACCAGCACGAAGAACGUGUUCUUGCUGACGCGCUUCUUGAAUGUGUCAGCAAAAGGAGAGAACUUCUCGUACGUGGGCGCAGGUUAAAGAAACAACCAUCCUCACAGAACCGUCUCCCUGCGCUCCCAGGCUUGCCUCUCUGUUGGGAUCAACCCAAGGUUCCUGUGACCGCUGAAACGCUGAAGGCUGCAUCGCUGAGCUCAGGCAGAGAAAGCUUCAGAGGCUGCCUGCACAUCUGCCCUUCAAACACCUGGCUACUUCCUCCCUGAGGCCGUGGGUUCCACCUUGAGGGUCAUGACUUCUCGCUGCCCUCGUGUUCACCAAGCCUCCAGACACUUCUAUGGCUCCAUACCGCCUGCUCUCUGGAAGGAGCCAUGCACCAGGGACAGCGCCGAGGGCCGGCAGCACACAGGACCCACUGGCCAGCUGCGCCCAGGAUCUCAAUGCUGCAACACGCCCGUUAACAUGCCUGAAGCGCCAAGCAGGGCAGAUGCUGAGGUGCCGAGUCAGAGAGGCCUGGGGGGCACUCUCCCUCCAAGCUGCCAGACGGGUCACUUAACCUCUCUGAACUUCAGUUUCCUUAAUUACACAGUAGGAAAUAAUAUCAUGGUGCCACAUAACAAA